UACGUAGGGUGCGAGCGUUGUCCGGAAUUACUGGGCGUAAAGGGCUCGUAGGCGGUUUGUCGCGUCGUCUGUGAAAACCAGCAGCUCAACUGUUGGCUUGCAGGCGAUACGGGCAGACUUGAGUACUGCAGGGGAGACUGGAAUUCCUGGUGUAGCGGUGAAAUGCGCAGAUAUCAGGAGGAACACCGGUGGCGAAGGCGGGUCUCUGGGCAGUAACUGACGCUGAUGAGCGAAAGCGUGGGUAGCGAACAGG
rnacentral:rRNA from 1 species